AACGAACGCUGGCGGCAUGCCUAACACAUGCAAGUCGAACGAGACCUUCGAGUCUAGUGGCGCACGGGUGCGUAACGCGUGGGAACCUGCCCUUAGGUUCGGAAUAACUCCCCGAAAGGGGUGCUAAUACCGGAUAAUGUCUUCGGACCAAAGAUUUAUCGCCUUUGGAUGGGCCCGCGUUGGAUUAGCUAGUUGGUAGGGUAAAAGCCUACCAAGGCGACGAUCCAUAGCUGGUCUGAGAGGAUGAUCAGCCACACUGGGACUGAGACACGGCCCAGACUCCUACGGGGGGCAGCAGGGGGGAAUAUGGGAAAAUGGGCGAAAGCCUGACCCAGCAAUGCCGGGGGAGGGAUGAAGGCCUUGGGGUUGUAAAGCUCUUUUCCCCGGGAUGAUAAUGACAGUACCGGGAGAAUAAGCCCCGGCUAACCCCGU
rnacentral:rRNA from 1 species